CGCAGGCGCAGACGUGGCUCCACAUAAAUUUUUCCUUGGGCUGGUUUCCUGCAUGUCUUUUAAGUAUUUGCUUUUAGUUUCCGUGUUUUGGUGUUUUGUUUGUUCGUUUUUUUUUUUUUUUUGUUUUUACGACAAUGCCUUCUAGGGGAACAGUGUCGCUGGGCUGGGCGGUGGAGAGACACCUUUGGCACCAUCGUGCGAUCUCAUGCACCCUACCAGUGGAUCAACCCUUUGAGUCUGGCUUAGCUCAGGCAGAAAUUGUAGUCUGCAAAAGAAACUGAGAAGAAGAGGGCAAGGAGAGUGUGGCAUCCCAAGACAUAAAGACUCAAAUCAAUGAGAGCAAGCAACUCUGUCAAAUUUCACCAGAAGUGAGGACUAAAUAUUGACUACCGAAUUUUGCAAGGUAGGAAUCACUGGUAAACC
rnacentral:lncRNA from 10 species